GGUGUCAGAGUGCAGUCUGUAGCUGCCUUCCAGGCAGGUGUCAGUGCAGUCUAGCUGCCUUCCAGGCAGGUGUCAGAGUGCAGUCUGUAGCUGCCUUCCAGGCAGGUGUCAGAGUGCAGUCUGUAGCUGCCUUCCAGGCAGGUGUCAGUCAGUGCAGCCUAUAGGCCUUAUUCAUGCAGCGGUCAUGUUUGUUUGAAAACGAGGCUUGGUGUGUGAGAGCAACUGUCAUGUCCGCUGCAGCUAGUGAUAAUAUUACUAUGUGGACGAAAUCUUUAAUAUGUGUUCCUCAAAUAAGUUGAAGAAAUUGAUAAUUGGGCAGAUAAUAAAGACAGCAAUUGGAUCGAGGGUUAUAUUCAUGAAGUAGAAGGUAAAUUAGCAAGCGUAUUUGUGAUCAGAAAGUGAAUAAGCUACUAGCCUAUACUAGAUUCUUAAAAUAUGGUUAGAUCUCGCAGUUUUAGUUAGAAAGUUUUCUUUAAUUAAUAUUGAUGUUGAUAUUAAGCCUCUGUAUUGUUUCACGUUUGUUGGUUUGGUAUAAGCAUGUGUUAAUUGUUUUCUAAAUACAGUUAAGAGGCAGGAGAAUGGAUGUAGCAUGAGGGCUAAGGCGUUCCGGUCAAUGAAAAAGAAUGAGUCACCUUACCAGGUUCAGAGAAAUGCCUCAGCGAAAACGCAAGCGUACUGUAAAAAAUGUUGCUGAAAAAGCUACAUGAGCAACCCUUGAUGCCUCAUGUAAUGCACCAGUAUCUUUAGAAGAGGCUGCUUCCCCGCUACCACAGGCAUGCCUCCUCCCUCAAGCACAGUGCCUGUGAUGUCCUAUGACAUGGAUACUUCUGCUGAAGUUGAGAGCCUUUUCCCACUUUCAUUUAAUAUGAAAAAAGAAAAGAUACAAAGUCACAGCAGAGGAGAUCAGGAGAAGGAUUGGGCCACCAGAAAAUAUGUCAACCAAUUAAUUGGUCGCAUAUCUCAGGAUAGAUAAAAAUAAAAAGGGCGAGCUAAAGAGGAAGAUUGAGGAGACAGUCGACGUUAGUCCUGGCCCAACAACGAGUGUAACAUCUCUGUGCUCCAAACUGACUGAGGGUAAAUUAGUAAAUGUCCACUGCAAUGUCAACACACUACAACAUUGAGAUGUUUUAUCAAUCAGUAACAAAUAUAAAAUAUACCGUAUAAAAUAUGGUAUAAUAUACAGACCACAGACAACCUUAUCUUAAAAUGAUAUGGGUAGCCUUGUUUUAAAUCUAUCUAUCUAUAUAAUGAUUUGUUUCCAUUCUAGUUGUCUUGCAUUCAGGCCUUAGCUAAAUUCACAUGUAAUAUUAUGCAUUAUUUAUCAUGAAAGAAAUCCAUUGAGAUUAUAGAAAAAUGUAAUGGCAUUCUUGGUGUAAAUUAAAAAUUGAUGGUUACAAUACUAGUAACACUUUUUUUGUGUGUUCAGGAGAAGCCUGUGAUUUGGUUGUAGGGAUUGGCAAAUUGGCAGCGCAGUUGAUCCCUUUUGAAAAAAUCUCAGUUUUGGAAGGUUCCAAUUGGAAAACUGCAGGACUUUAUGUAUGUUUCCUUACAGUUUUAAACGCAGGUGUAGCAUAUACCAAAACAUUAAAUUACAUUGAAUCUGUAACACAAAUCUCUAUAAAACAACUACAGUAUCAUAAGAAGUGUAUACAACAUGAAUAUGAAAUAGAAAAUUAUACAAAGCCUCUCAGUAAACUUAAUUGGAGCAAAACAUUUCCCAUGUAUAAAACAACCAAGGUAACAGAGGGAUCAGCCAGGGAAAGAUAUGAUUGCAGUCAGAGGUGCCAAGUUAUAGAGUAUCAAGUCAACAGAAAACUCAAUUAAACUACUGUCUGUAUUUUACCUCUAGUUUUGUAUGUAUGCCACUCAUGAAGUCAGAAGCAUAUAUAAGCACUGUUUUUUAACCCGAAAAUAUGAUUGCAGCUGCCUGCAAUGUUAUUUAAUAGCGUAUUUUGUUUUUUAAAACUGUAAAUCUACAAAUUAAAGCAACUAGAUACACUUUGGAAGUUUCUUACACAUUUACCCAGGCUGUGUGGUCCAGUGGUUAAAGAAAAGGGCUUGUAACCGGAGGUCCCCGGUUCAAAUCCCACCUCAGCCACUGACUCAUUGUGUGACUCUGAGCAAGUCACUUAACCUCCUUGUGCUCCGUCUUUCGGGUGAGACAUAGUUGUAAGUGACUCUGCAGCUGAUGCAUAGUUCACACACCCUAGUCUCUGCAAGUCGCCUUGGAUAAAGGCGUCUGCUAAAUAAACAAAUAAUAAUAAUAAUUAAGAGAUCAUUCAAGGGACAGUCAAAUAGUGGCCUCAACACAGAUGGUCUCUUAAAACAGGGCCCCAUACAUUUUCUGUUUGUCUCUAAUAUGCCUUCUUGUAAUUCUGUAUGUAUGUUUAAAAUACACUGUAGAAUACACUCAAAGAUGGCAUAUGAACAAAAGGAAGUGCAUUCAUUUAGUAAUAUGAACAAAAGGAAGUGCAUUUAUUUAGACACUUUUCUGGAACUGCAGUAACUUUAAUUCUCUCAUCCUUUGUUUCAACAGAAUGUUUAUUGAUUACAGAUAAAAGCCAAGUAACAUGGUUGCUUAA